AUUACCGAGUGCGGGCCCCUCGGGGCCCAACCUCCCACCCGUGUUGCCCGAACCUAUGUUGCCUCGGCGGGCCCCGCGCCCGCCGACGGCCCCCCUGAACGCUGUCUGAAGUUGCAGUCUGAGACCUAUAACGAAAUUAGUUAAAACUUUCAACAACGGAUCUCUUGGUUCCGGCAUCGAUGAAGAACGCAGCGAAAUGCGAUAACUAAUGUGAAUUGCAGAAUUCAGUGAAUCAUCGAGUCUUUGAACGCACAUUGCGCCCUCUGGUAUUCCGGAGGGCAUGCCUGUCCGAGCGUCAUUGCUGCCCUCAAGCCCGGCUUGUGUGUUGGGCCCCGUCCCCCCCGCCGGGGGGACGGGCCCGAAAGGCAGCGGCGGCACCGCGUCCGGUCCUCGAGCGUAUGGGGCUUCGUCACCCGCUCUAGUAGGCCCGGCCGGCGCCAGCCGACCCCCAACCUUUAAUUAUCUCAGGUUGACCUCGGAUCAGGUAGGGAUACCCGCUGAACUUAAGCAUAUCAAUAAGCGGAGGAAAAGAAACCAACCGGGAUUGCCCUAGUAACGGCGAGUGAAGCGGCAAGAGCUCAAAUUUGAAAGCUGGCCCCCUCGGGGUCCGCAUUGUAAUUUGCAGAGGAUGCUUCGGGAACGGCCCCCAUCUAAGUGCCCUGGAACGGGCCGUCAUAGAGGGUGAGAAUCCCGUCUGGGAUGGGGUGGCCGCGCCCGUGUGAAGCUCCUUCGACGAGUCGAGUUGUUUGGGAUGCAGCUCU
rnacentral:rRNA from 1 species